UUACUCCUUUUAAGUUUUGAUUUCUCAGCCAAUAGCAAGAUAUGUACCAUGUCUUCUUGCCAUUCGUUUGAGAUGAAUGAAAUGAGGGUGAAUGCAUGACUUAAUGUGUUUAGUCAUACGUAUGCAUGCUCCGGUACAUAGUGACACGUUUGCAUUAGUAGAACACCACCAUGAGCCAUCGUGUGGGCGGGAGAGUUUCUAGGGUUACAAGAAUCACUGCCUGACAGGCUGUCAGUGUUGUCUAUACGUCAGUGGAUUAUAUGUGUGAUAUAGGUCGGUUUCCAUACGUCAACUGGAUUAUAUGUAUGAUAUAGGUCGGUUUCCAUACGUCAGUGGAUUAUAUGUAUGAUAAAGGGUCGGUUUCUAUACGUCAGUGGAUUAUAUGUGUGAUAUAGGUCGGUUUCUAUACGUCAGUGGAUUAUAUGUAUGAUAAAGGGUCGGUUUCCAUACGUCAGUGGAUUAUAUGUGUGAUAUAGGUCGGUUUCUAUGUGUCAGCACAGAGCACGUGCUCAUCAGUGGGUAUGAGUAGAUCAUGUAAUUCCUGUCAUGUUUUCUGUUAUACACAA
ensembl:lncRNA